AGAGUUUGAUCCUGGCUCAGAUUGAACGCUGGCGGCAGGCCUAACACAUGCAAGUCGAGCGGAAACGACACUAACAAUCCUUCGGGUGCGUUAAUGGGCGUCGAGCGGCGGACGGGUGAGUAAUGCCUAGGAAAUUGCCUUGAUGUGGGGGAUAACCAUUGGAAACGAUGGCUAAUACCGCAUAAUGCCUACGGGCCAAAGAGGGGGACCUUCGGGCCUCUCGCGUCAAGAUAUGCCUAGGUGGGAUUAGCUAGUUGGUGAGGUAAUGGCUCACCAAGGCGACGAUCCCUAGCUGGUCUGAGAGGAUGAUCAGCCACACUGGAACUGAGACGCGGUCCAGACUCCUACGGGAGGCAGCAGUGGGGAAUAUUGCACAAUGGGCGAAAGCCUGAUGCAGCCAUGCCGCGUGUAUGAAGAAGGCCUUCGGGUUGUAAAGUACUUUCAGUUGUGAGGAAGGGGGUAGCGUUAAUAGCGCUAUCUCUUGACGUUAGCAACAGAAGAAGCACCGGCUAACUCCGUGCCAGCAGCCGCGGUAAU
rnacentral:rRNA from 1 species